GACGAACGCUGGCGGCGUGCUUAACACAUGCAAGUCGAACGGUAAGGCCCUUCGGGGUACACGAGUGGCGAACGGGUGAGUAACACGUGGGUGAUCUGCCUGCACUUCGGGAUAAGCCUGGGAAACUGGGUCUAAUACCGGAUAGGACCACUGCCUGCAUGGGUGGUGGUGGAAAGCUUUUGCGGUGUGGGAUGGGCCCGCGGCCUAUCAGCUUGUUGGUGGGGUGAUGGCAUACCAAGGCGACGACGGGUAGCCGGCCUGAGAGGGUGACCGGCCACACUGGGACUGAGAUACGGCCCAGACUCCGACGGGAGGCAGCAGUGGGGAAUAUUGCACAAUGGGCGCAAGCCUGAUGCAGCGACGCCGCGUGAGGGAUGACGGCCUCCGGGUUGUAAACCUCUUUCAGCACCGACGAAGCGCAAGUGACGGUAGGUGCAGAAGAAGGACCGGCCAACUACGUGCCAGCAGCCGCCGUAA
rnacentral:rRNA from 1 species